GCCUUCGCCAGCCCGCUCAGAACUUAAAGGAAUUGACGGGGCCCGCACAAGCGGUGGAGUAUGUGGUUUAAUUCGAUGCAACGCGAAGAACCUUACCUGGUCUUGACAUCCCGGAGACCCUUAGGAAACUAGGGGGUGCUUCCAUCUGGAAGAAUCUGGAGACAGGUGCUGCAUGGCUGUCGUCAGCUCGUGUCGUGAGAUGUUGGGUUAAGUCCCGCAACGAGCGCAACCCUUGCCUUUAGUUGCCAGCAGUUCGGCUGGGCACUCUAAAGGGACUGCCGGUGUUAAACCGGAGGAAGGUGGGGAUGACGUCAAGUCCUCAUGGCCUUUAUGACCAGGGCUACACACGUACUACAAUGGCCGAUACAAAGGGCAGCGACACUGCGAGGUGAAGCCAAUCCCGUAAAAUCGGUCUCAGUCCGGAUUGGAGUCUGCAACUCGACUCCAUGAAGUUGGAAUCGCUAGUAAUCGUGGAUCAGCAUGCCACGGUGAAUACGUUCCCGGGCCUU
rnacentral:rRNA from 1 species